rnacentral:rRNA from 1 species
GACGAACGCUGGCGGCGUGCUUAACACAUGCAAGUCGAACGGAAAGGCCCCUUCGGGGGUACUCGAGUGGCGAACAGGUGAGUAACACGUGAGUAACCUGCCCUUGACUUCGGGAUACUUCAGGAAACUGGGGCUAAUACCGGAUAGGAAUCCUUGCUGCAUGGUGGGGGUUGGAAAGCUUCGGCGGUUUUGGAUGGACUCGCGGCUUAUCGGCUUGUUGGUGGGGUAGUGGCUUACCAAGGCUUUGACGGGUAGCCGGCCUGAGAGGGCGACCGGCCACAUUGGGACUGAGAUACGGCCCAGACUCCUACGGGAGGCAGCAGUGGGGAAUAUUGCACAAUGGGCGGAAGCCUGAUGCAGCAACGCCGCGUGCGGGAUGACGGCCUUCGGGUUGUAAACCGCUUUCAGCAGGGGCGAAGCUUGUGGUGACGGUACCUGCAGAAGAAGCACCGGCUAACUACGUG